ACAAAGCCCAACCAGAACUCCAUGUCUCCCUUUUUACCGCUGUUGGAUCUAUUUUGAAAGGUUGUGUUUUUAUUAAACCCUAAAACGGGAACUGGGAGGGGAGUAGGGGAUUAAAUCAUCUGGUCCUGUCUUGCACUUUCUAGAAUCGGGAGGAGAGCAAGGCAUGCGACGUUUUUCCUACCAAUUGUCUCUCGUCGUACGCCAUCGCUGCAUGAGGUGAGGCCGUGGUGAGGAUCCCGCGCCACCUCGCUCUCGGGUGCCUCUGCCCCGUCCGUUGCAGAUGGCGACUGGCGGCUAGGGUUUUCUGCACGAGGCGAGGUAGAGGAGGCCAAAACAUGGGCCAAGGCGGUGAUGCUCCUCAUCAUGUGCAGCGAUCACCACGCAUCUGGCGAGGCCAUCAAGGAUGUGCUUUCAGUCUUUCACCUAGGAGCUUGGCGAUGACUACCAGAAGCAAGAAAAAUGUAAGGAUGCUGAACUUAGUGCAAUAGAUUUUUUUAAGGACAUGCAUUGCAACAAAAAGAAAGGUUUUAGUGAAAAUAUUGAGAAAGCUAUUGUUGACAUGGAAGAAAUAAUGGUAGCACCAAUUUAGGAUGGAUAACAACCAAAAUAUCCUACAAAAGUUGUUUCUAAUAUCGUACCGGGCUCCAGUGUGUUCCUAUGCAAUGUUGGUCUUCGGUCUGCAUCCAAGAAAAGCUCCAUAGCGUCAAUUUCUGCAAAGGUUCAACAACUUUAAGAUGAACUUGAGAUCAAGAAGCAAGAAAUAUUUGCAGUGAACAAAUUCAUGCGAUAUUUUGGUUGUGAUGUGUAAUAUUCCUUGACGAUAUGAAUGCUUAUGAUGUGUUCCUUCUAAUGACUAUUGUAUCUAUCACAAAUGCUUUGGCACAUCACUGCCAUGUCAUCAUAUUUUAUGAUGAAAAUAUUCGUCACAAAUGUAUUGCCA